rnacentral:rRNA from 1 species
UACGUAGGGUGCGAGCGUUGUCCGGAAUUAUUGGGCGUAAAGAGCUCGUAGGCGGUCUGUCGCGUCGGUCGUGAAAACCUGCAGCUUAACUGUGGGCGUGCGGUCGAUACGGGCAUGACUGGAGUUCGGCAGGGGAGACUGGAAUUCCUGGUGUAGCGGUGAAAUGCGCAGAUAUCAGGAGGAACACCGGUGGCGAAGGCGGUUCUCUGGGCAUGACCUGACGCUGAGGAGCGAAAGUGUGGGGAGCGAACAGG